AGGGAAUAUUAGAAAUGGACGAAAGUCUGAUCUAGCAACACCGCGUGUGCGAAGAAGGCCUUCGGGUUGUAAAGCACUUUUUGGAAGGAUCAGGAAGGAAUGUACUUCCAGAAUAAGUCUCGGCUAACUACGUGCCAGCAGCCGCGGUAACACGUAGGAGGCAAACGUUAUCCGGAUUUACUGGGCGUAAAGCGCGUGUAGGUGGUUCUGUAAGUAGGGCGUGAAAGCUCCUGGCUCAACUGGGAGAGGCCGUUCUAAACUGCAGAGGUAGAGGAUGGGAGAGGGAGGGGGAAUUCCGGGUGUAGCGGUGG
rnacentral:rRNA from 1 species